CAGCUGGCUCUCAGUGCUCCUGAAUUCUGCACUAUGGGAAAUUCACUUUGCUUUUCCCUAGCCCAGGGACUGAGCCUCUGCUACCACCACAAGGUUUUUUAGAGCUCUGAGUGCCUCUCCGAAGCCAUUGAAGCCAUCGAGGAGGCUUUUAGAGGACCCGCACUUUCCCUUUUAACUCAAUUAAGCCAUCAGGAUCCUGUUCCCACUCCAGCGAGUGGGUCCGGUACACGGAGAUGUGACCCACAGUGUCCAAAUAAUAUUCCAUCUUCUGGGCCUGGAGAUCCAACUCAGGACCUUACACAAGCUAAAAGAGUGUUCCGCUGAGUGACCUCUUUUUGUUUUCAAAUGAAGAGGAGCCAAGAAUAGGAUGGCUUGGGAAGGUGAGCUGCGUAUAACUCAUCAGGCUGAGCUCAUCCUCGUCUAUGGCCAAAUGUUGGUUUCUCGUUUCUAGAAGAUGAAAGAUGUGAUGACUUAGGAAAAAGCCAUUCCUCUGCUUACUGUUGCUGUUGGAGAUGUGAGUCCUCAGAUGUUUCUGCCACCAUAACGACAGCUGCUGCCAAGAUUCCCUGAUGGGAUGGACUCUUAAUGUCUCUACAACCAGAAGCCCAAAUAAACUCUUUUGACACAAUAGAAUUCAAAUCCAACCAUACGGCAGAAAGACCCCACUACAAGGCAACCAACGUUUAAAACACAAGCAAACCCAGAGGCUGAAAAUAGAAAUGCUGAUAAGUGAAUGUGUUUAAGACAUUUGUGCGAAUGAAGAAGAUGGCAACAAGCAGACAAACACUGCAAACAGCGCCAAAGACAAAUGGAACGGAGGGGAAUUGUUCUCUCCCCGACAGCAAACAUGCUGAUGCAUUGUGCAAGGAGGUGGGCAAGGAAUGUGAACAAAUACUUCACAUACUAAAAAAAAGAAAGAAUGGUAUUGAGUAUGGUGGUGCACACCUUUGAUCCCAGCACUUGGGGGAGGUAGAGGCAGGUGGGUCUCUGACUUCGAGGCUAGCCAGGGCUGCACCUUGCGAACCCAUUCCACAAAACAAUGACAAACCAAAUAAACAAAAAAGUAGGAAUGGUCAAAAUUACUUGGAAAAAAAACAAGUACUCAUCUUCAUAAGUGCUUAGAAAAAUGAAAGCAUAACACAUGCCCAUGUUUCUAUGAGUGACAGAUACUUGAAGUUCAAUAAGAUAUGGUUUUUUAGCAAAGUUAUAGUAAACGUACACUGUUGAUGGCCGUUGAAUCUGAGAGUGUGGACAGGUUACAAUUUAGAAGCAUCCCAUUGUGUGUGUGGCACUGGGUUUGAACCUAGGGCCUUGCACGUGCUGGGUGAAUAAGUGCUGUUGCUGAGAGUCAGCUCUGCUGUUCUCAUCUUGAAUGCACACAUAUUAUGUUCCAGUCAUAAUUUAUUCUUUCAGGUAAUUUAUUCUGUGGAUAAAGUCACUACAGAGGUUCCUAAAGUCACGAAUGUAAGGUUAUUCAUGGAAGCAUUGUUUAUUAUAAUAAUAACAGGGGAAAGUGGAAAGAAUUUAAAUGUCGGUUAAUUAGGCCAAUGGUUGGCUUUAUGGCUUGUCUAGUGGCGAAAAGAUGUCCAUGUGUUAACGUGGAAAGUUGCUGAUAUACUGUUAGAUACAACAUAAAGGGUACUGUAUAUAAUUUACUCUGCAUAGAGGUGUUGUAUUCAGGCUGGAGAGAUGGC